rnacentral:rRNA from 1 species
UACGGAGGGGGCUAGCGUUGUUCGGAAUUACUGGGCGUAAAGCGCGCGUAGGCGGACCUGCAAGUCGGGGGUGAAAGCCCGAGGCUCAACCUCGGAACUGCCUUCGAUACUGCGGGUCUCGAGUCCGGGAGAGGUGAGUGGAAUUCCUAGUGUAGAGGUGAAAUUCGUAGAUAUUAGGAAGAACACCGAUGGCGAAGGCAGGUCUCUGGGCCAUAACUGACGCUGAGAAGCGAAAGCAUGGGGAGCGAACAGG